GUCACAAUCAACAUUCAUUGCUGUCGGUGGGUUGAGCGGUGCGGACGAGCUCACGGAACAAUGAAUGCAACUGUGGCCCC